rnacentral:snoRNA from 1 species
UGCAGCCGUGUCACAUUCGGUGCCCACCAGGCCAUGGCAGGCGCCGGCCCAAAAGGCUGCCACAGAAAUGCUGUGGCUCAUGGGCCCUGAUCCUCUGUGCUGGGCCUCAGGGAUAAAUUUGGUCACGGACACCA